CGCAGCCGCGGUAAUUCCAGCUCCAAUAGCGUAUAUUAAAGUUGUUGCAGUUAAAAAGCUCGUAGUUGAAUUUCGGGAUCAAUUUAUUGGUCGUGCUAUUGUACGUACUGGUAUUAUUGAUUCCUACCUUCUGACGAACCAUGAUGUCAUUAAUUUGGUGUCAUGGGGAAUCAGGACUGUUACUUUGAAAAAUUAGAGUGUUUAAAGCAGGCUCACGCUUGAAUACAUUAGCAUGGAAUAACGAAAUAGGACGUUUGAUUCUAUUUUGUUGGUUUCUAGGAUCGACGUAAUGAUUAAUAGGGAUAGUUGGGGGCAUUAGUAUUCAAUUGUCAGAGGUGAAAUUCUUGGAUUUAUUGAAGACUAACUACUGCGAAAGCAUUUGCCAAGGAUGUUUUCAUUAAUCAAGAACGAAAGUUAGGGGAUCGAAGACGAUCAGAUACCGUCGUAGUCUUAACCAUAAACUAUGCCGACUAGGGAUCGGAUGAUGUUAAUUUUUAAUGACUCAUUCGGCGCCUUAAC
rnacentral:misc_RNA from 2 species